rnacentral:rRNA from 1 species
UACGGGGGGAGCAAGCGUUGUUCGGAUUUACUGGGCGUAAAGGGCGCGUAGGCGGCCACCGCAAGUCAGUUGUGAAAGCUCUGGGCUUAACCCAGAAAGGUCAGCUGAUACUGCGGGGCUAGAGUGCAGAAGGGGCAACUGGAAUUCUCGGUGUAGCGGUGAAAUGCGUAGAUAUCGAGAGGAACACCUGCGGCGAAGGCGGGUUGCUGGGCUGACACUGACGCUGACAGCGCGAAAGCUAGGGGAGCGAAUGGG